rnacentral:rRNA from 1 species
GAACGGGUGAGUAACACGUGAGCAACCUACCUUCUGUUCUGUGGACAACCCAGGGAAACUUGGGCUAAUACCGGAUACUCCGCAGCCCCCGCAUGAGGGCUUCGGGAAAGCGCAUACGACAGAAGAUGGGCUCGCGGUCCAUUAGUUUGUUGGUGGGGUAACGGCCUACCAAGACGAUGAUGGAUAGCCGGGUUGAGAGACCGACCGGCCACAUUGGGACUGAGACACGGCCCAGACUCCUACGGGAGGCAGCAGUGGGGAAUUUUGCGCAAUGGGCGAAAGCCUGACGCAGCAACGNCGGGAUGACGGCCUUCGGGUUGUAAACCGCUUUCAGCGGGGACGAAGCGCAAGUGACGGUACCCGCAGAAGAAGCACCGGCCAACUACGUGCCAGCAGCCGCGGUGAUACGUAGGGUGCGAGCGUUGUCCGGAAUUAUUGGGCGUAAAGAGCUCGUAGGCGGUUCGUUGCGUCGGAAGUGAAAACUCGGGGCUUAACCCCGAGCCUGCUUUCGAUACGGGCGGACUAGAGGAAGGUAGGGGAGAACGGAAUUCCUGGUGGAGCGGUGGAAUGCGCAGAUAUCAGGAGGAACACCGAUGGCGAAGGCAGUUCUCUGGACCUUUCCUGACGCUGAGGAGCGAAAGCGUGGGGAGCAAACAGGCUUAGAUACCCUGGUAGUCCACGCCGUAAACGGUGGGUACUNGCACUAGGUGUGGGGAGAUCACUCUUUCUCUGUGCCGCAGCUAACGCAUUAAGUACCCCGCCUGGGGAGUACGGCCGCAAGGCUAAAACUCAAAGGAAUUGACGGGGCCCCGCACAAGCGGCGGAGCAUGCGGAUUAAUUCGAUGCAACGCGAAGAACCUUACCUGGGUUUGACAUGCAGGAGACCGGAGGUGGAAACGCUUCCUUCCGUAGCAAUACGAGUUCCUGCACAGGUGCUGCAUGGCUGUCGUCAGCUCGUGUCGUGAGAUGUUCGGUUAAGUCCGGCAACGAGCGCAACCCUCGCUCUUAGUUACCAGCGGUUAAAGCCGGGGACUCUAAGAGGACAAACCCGUUAAGGGUGGGAAGGUGGGGAUGACGUCAAGUCAGCAUGGCCCUUACAUCCAGGGCUGCACACGUGCUACAAUGCCCGGUACAAAUGGAGGCGAAUCCGCGAGGAGGAGCAAAACCAUAAAGCCGGGCUCAGUUCAGAUUGCAGUCUGCAACUCGACUGCAUGAAGUUGGAAUCGCUAGUAAUGGUGCAUCAGCAACGGCACCGUGAAUACGUUCCCGGGCCUUGUACACACCGCCCGUCACGUCAUGAAAGCCGAUUCAACCCGAAGUAUCCGAGCCAACUCGCAAGAGGGGCAGGGUCCUAAGGUCGUGUUGGUGAUUGGGACGAAGUCGUAACAAGGUAGCCGUAGGGGAACC